AACGAACGCUGGCGGCAUGCCUAACACAUGCAAGUCGAACGAGAUCUUCGGGUCUAGUGGCGCACGGGUGCGUAACGCGUGGGAAUCUGCCCUCAGGUUCGGAAUAACCAUUGGAAACGAUGGCUAAUACCGGAUGAUGACGUUAAGUCCAAAGAUUUAUCGCCUGAGGAUGAGCCCGCGUAGGAUUAGCUAGUUGGUGUGGUAAAGGCGCACCAAGGCGACGAUCCUUAACUGGUCUGAGAGGAUGAUCAGCCACACUGGGACUGAGACACGGCCCAGACUCCUACGGGAGGCAGCAGUGGGGAAUAUUGGACAAUGGGCGAAAGCCUGAUCCAGCAAUGCCGCGUGAGUGAUGAAGGCCUUAGGGUUGUAAAGCUCUUUUACCCGGGAUGAUAAUGACAGUACCGGGAGAAUAAGCGCCGGCUAACUCCGUG
rnacentral:rRNA from 1 species